GCUCCCUUGGCUUAGUGGUAAAGCGUAUCACUAGUAAUGAUAAGAUCACUGGUUCGAUUCCAGUAGGGAGCA
rfam:Metarhizium robertsii ARSEF 23 MAA_Scf_7, whole genome shotgun sequence.